UUAACUAUAAUCACAUAAUCUCACUUGCUACAUAAUUAGGACACAUAUAAGAGUUAUCUUGCUAUAUCGGCAUUUCAUCAAAAACUCCUCAUAAUUUAAGCUCUACAUGUCAUAUUACUUGUCCAAUUGUUAUUACGAUACCACGACAUGUUUUCAAAUUGUAUUUCUGUAACGUACCGGAUUUUGAUAUAAAAGUAAAAAUAAAUAAAAAUAGUGUGAGAUGCUAUUUUUAUUGGAUUUAGAUAAGUAAAAUAUAAGUAAGAAAUGACUUGUGCUGAAAUCGGAAUGAAAACAGAAGAUUUAGAAUUUUCUAUGAGAAACGGGGCUGAUAUUUUAGCAGAAAAUGCACAGUGUCAGAAAAUUAUAAAAACUGAAGAAUAUGUCAGAAUUAUUUUUAUGAUGCUAGAUUUAAAGUUCAUGUCAUUCUGACACCCGGAAGGUGGAAAAUAAAAUCCAACUGCUAUCUGCUAGAGGUUAUAGUUCGGUAGAGCUUUCGGUGACCAAACAAGGUCGAAACUGAAAAAUUAAAAUUUUUUUCGUCAAGUUAAGUAAAAUCGAGCAUGACUGUCAAAUUUAAGCUCAAACGGACAUUCAGAAGGGCAAACGAAAAAUAUCUGUACCCGAGCUGCUAAACUGAAUGUAAUUAUGUUAAUGUUGAGGGG
rnacentral:lncRNA from 1 species